GAUGAAGAACGCAGCGAAAUGCGAUAAGUAAUGUGAAUUGCAGAAUUCAGUGAAUCAUCGAAUCUUUGAACGCAUCUUGCGCUCCUUGGUAUUCUGAGGAGCAUGCCUGUUUGAGUGUCAUUACAACCCUCAAGCUCUGCUUGGUAUUGGGCUCUGCCGGUCCUGGCAGGCCUCAAAGUCAGUGGCGGUGCCAUCCGGCUCCAAGCGUAGUAAUUCUUCUCGCUUCGGAGGCCGCGGUGCGUGCUAGCCAGCAACCCCCAAUUUUUUUCAGGUUGACCUCGGAUCAGGUAGGGAUACCCGCUGAACUUAAGCAUAUCAAUAAGCGGAGGA
rnacentral:misc_RNA from 1 species